GGCGGUUCCUCACUUUGUGACAUCACAAGCACCCGUUUUUGUGGAUUGGGAGGGGCUGGUGCUCAGAGAGCAGGUUUUUAGAGGAAUACGCAGAAAUGCGUGAACCGAUCAAAAAUGCCGCUUUGAGAUUGUUUUUAGUGAGGAAUGAACAUUAAAAUAGAUGUAAAAGCUCAAAAAGGUGAUUUUGCAUGAUGCAGGCGCUUUAAUACUUUGAUUACCGGUAAAGUUUUGGCUCAGAAAAACAAAAUUCUGUCAACCAAAAGAAGCAUUUGUCGUCCCCCUGAACACAUGAUCCACUUCACACUGGAAACAAACAUAGACUUCAUAUCUUUUUAGAUAUUUGUAGAGUAUUUUUAACAAUUUAAGCAUAAAUGCAGGCAUUUUUUAACCACAUUUAUUGCUCUUUUAGGUGUUUUUUUUUCUUUUUGAAACACACAAACCAAAGGUGGAACCUUUAAAAUCACACCAGAGACAAACGGGGUGCGUGGCAUCUUUCAUCAGAGGAUUGUUCCCUGGAUUUAACACGGCUGAUUUUUCGAUGUACAUAUUUAUCUUUUGCAUCCCAAGUCUGUUUGGAGUUAGGAGUCUCCUGUUGGCCCCACAUAGAUUUACAGGACGCCUAUCUAUUUGACUCGACCUGGAAGAAGGCCCAGCAGAGGUUCCUGCGACAACUUCAGAAGUUCAGCCUGCCUCAGGAGCUGCUGACCAUCUUCUACGAUGCAAUCAUCCAGUCUGUCCUGACUGCAUCCAUGCAGACACGGCAAUGAUAGACUGCAGAGAACCAUCAGGUCCAAAGAGAGGAUUAUUGGUUCUGACCUUCCCUCCAUCCAAGACCUGUACUGGUCCAGGGUCAGGAAGCAGGCUGGUAAAAUCUCAACUGACCCCUCACACCCCCCUGGACACAAUCUCUUUACUUCACCCCACAGAGCUCUGUAAGUCAAACCCACCCACCACAAAGACAACUUCUGAUGAACUGUUGACCAAUCACCGAGUGUAAAAACACAAACAUGAGACUUUUUAAACUGGAUCAAAUGUUGUAUUUAUCUUUUUUUCUUCCUGUUUUGCAUUUUUUACACCAUUUUAUGCUUUGCCCUUGUUUGCCUUGUCCUUUUACAUAACUGAAACCACAGUCCUUAUAUGUGCAUUCAUACUAAAGCUAAUUCUGAUUACUGUGAA